CACCGGCGGCCCGAGUGGUGGCCACUAUUAUUGGGUCUAAAGGGUCCGUAGCCGGUUUGAUCAGUCUUCCGGGAAAUCUGACAGCUCAACUGUUAGGCUUCCGGGGGAUACUGUCAGACUUGGGACCGGGAGAGGUAAGAGGUACUACAGGGGUAGGAGUGAAAUCUUGUAAUCCUUGUGGGACCACCAGUGGCGAAGGCGUCUUACCAGAACGGGUCCGACGGUGAGGGACGAAAGCUGGGGGCACGAACCGGAUUAGAUACCCGGGUAGUCCCAGCCGUAAACGAUGCUCGCUAGGUGUCUGGGAUGGUGCGACCGUUUCAGGUGCCGCAGGGAAGCCGUGAAGCGAGCCACCUGGGAAGUACGGCCGCAAGGCUGAAACUUAAAGGAAUUGGCGGGGGAGCACUACAACGGGUGGAGCCUGCGGUUU
rnacentral:rRNA from 1 species